AGUGAACGCUGGCGGUAGGCCUAACACAUGCAAGUCGAACGGCAGCACAGUAAGAGCUUGCUCUUACGGGUGGCGAGUGGCAGACGGGUGAGGAAUACAUCGGAAUCUACUUUUUCGUGGGGGAUAACGUAGGGAAACUUACGCUAAUACCGCAUACGACAUACGGGUGAAAGCAGGGGAUCUUCGGACCUUGCGCGAUUGAAUGAGCCGAUGUCGGAUUAGCUAGUUGGCGGGGUAAAGGCCCACCAAGGCGACGAUCCGUAGCUGGUCUGAGAGGAUGAUCAGCCACACUGGAACUGAGACACGGUCCAGACUCCUACGGGAGGCAGCAGUGGGGAAUAUUGGACAAUGGGCGCAAGCCUGAUCCAGCCAUACCGCGUGGGUGAAGAAGGCCUUCGGGUUGUAAAGCCCUUUUGUUGGGAAAGAAAAGCAGCAGGUUAAUACCCCGCUGUUCUGACGGUACCCAAAGAAUAAGCACCGGCUAACUUCGUG
rnacentral:rRNA from 1 species